rnacentral:lncRNA from 1 species
UAAAAUAAAAUAUAAAAAUAAACAUAAAAUAAAAGCAAGUAAACAGUUUCUGGUCCUCUUUCUUCUUUUUCUCUUUUCUUUUACGGCUUACUGUGCCUCUACGCUUUUUCUUUUACUUUCUAUCUUUUCAUAUUUCGUUGGACAAGAUAUUUCCAUGUAUCCAGUAUUUCGGUGGCGGUUCUUUCAUUUACUAUCGGACCUUUGGCCUUUGCCCUCAUUAUUUCUAGGCCUUCCACUAGUAAUGUUUGUGUUUCUUUAAAUAUGGAUUUUAAAAUUUUUGCCUCUUCUCAUUCAAUUUUUUAUGUUACCUGCAUAGGUGGCUUCCACUAAUGCAGUUGUUGUUUUUCCUAAUCUCACAUCUCUUUUAUGUUCAUGUAUUCUCUGGCUGAGGUUUCUUCUUGUUACUCCUAUAUACAUUGAUUUUUCUUUCGUUUCUGUAAACUCCAGUGGGAUUUGAUAAACUCCUGACUUCUGAGCAUGGCUUCUCUUCUCUUUCUCGUUGCGUAUGCUGUUAAACACUGUAGGUGCUCUGCGUAUAGCCGGUUUAUUUUUUAUUUUAUUUAGGAGGUUCUUAGUUGUUGCAUGGGUUGCUACUCGCAAUGGUAAUGGUACGUACUCUUUGCUUUCUCUUAAUUGCUCUUGUUCUUCAUUAGUUGGCCUUUGGUUAAUAAUAUCUUGUCUUAAUCUGGUGUGGAUUUGUCAUAUAAAGCCAUACUUGUAUCUGUGGUCCUUUCCUAUUUUGUAGAUAAGUUUCAGCUCUGUUUCGAGAUCCUUCUUGUCUGUAAUAUAUGUAUAUGCUCUCUUAAGGUAUGCUCUAAAUGCCGCUUUUUUUGUGACGUGCUCGGGCCCUCGGCCACGAACCCGUCAUGAAUUCGACCCCGGUCCCUGACACUAGUCCAUUGUUUAAUCUUAAUACUGACCUCCAGCUCUGUUUCCCGUAGCCAGCGUAGAACGUAGUCAACAAUGCCAAAACAAUCCAUGCUAAUUUUGUUAGACGAAGUUUUAUUAUUAAUGCAUAAAAUAACUUUAUCAUUAAUUCAAACAAUAUUAAAAAAAGUACUAAAUAAC